UACGUAGGCAGCGAGCGUUGUUCGGAGUUACUGGGCGUAAAGGGUGUGUAGGCGGUUUUCUAAGUCUGAUGUGAAAGCCCACGGCUCAACCGUGGAGGGUCAUUGGAAACUGGGGGACUUGAGUGCAGGAGAGAAAAGUGGAAUUCCACGUGUAGCGGUGAAAUGCGUAGAGAUGUGGAGGAACACCAGUGGCGAAGGCGACUUUUUGGCCUGUAACUGACGCUGAGGCGCGAAAGCGUGGGGAGCAAACAGG
rnacentral:rRNA from 1 species